GGAAAAGGGAACUCGGUAAAAAAUGUUAGACAAGGCCAAAGAUAUAAAUAUUAUUUUAAAAGCACGAAAUAAAAAGUGUUAGAAGCCACUGUUGCAGGGAGGUUUUUCAGCCACCAGUGCCAAACAGAGGACUCAUCUUAGCACCCGGGAAUGUUCUUCCUUCAGGCUUCCUGGGGCUCCAGGCGUCUAGAAUGAGGGAUGUUCUGUGUCCCUGCUGACGUGUGUUUGGAGACAUGAGAGGGAGCAUGUCUCCAACAGGCCAGCCUGCUGCUCUCUCCUUUCCAGCCAACCCCACCCUGCUUCACACCCUCAGUGGGCCUGGAGGCAACUGGAAGGCACAACUGAUCAUGUCACUGUUUUGUUCUGGGCUCCUUGGAAGAGUUACACCUCAGCAACUCAGGUCCAGUUUCCUUAGUGGGAAUCAGAGAGCCCCAAACUCUGCUCUCAUACCUUAACGGCCAACCAGACUGAGAUCCCUGAACUCACACAGCUUCUUCUUGCUUCUGGGAGUCUCCAUAUGCCACUGGGGACUCCCUUUCACCUGGAGUGCAUCAGGAGGACCACUACUGCCUACCUGCUUGUGCAUCUGCUAGUGACAACUGCUCCCCUAUCUGUCCUGUCUCACUGCCCUUUCUAGUAACAUUGCCUCGGCCCGAGAAGACAGAAUGUGUGGCUCCUGACUCCUCUGCGUUCCUGUUGUCCCCAUCACACUCAGGACACCAUAGUAUGAUUGUCUUUUAGUCUCCAUCUCUUUAUCCGCUGCCUCAACCCCUCCCAGUGACACACAAAAAAAGUAUGGGAAACUGCAAGCACUGGGAGGGCAGGGCAUUUAUCAGGAAAUUUAUCAAUUUCUGAACUAUGUAGUACAGUGCCUGGUUCAGAACAGAUUCUCAAUAAAAUGUUUGAAUAAUGUAUGUCUAGCCAGACCUCUUGGAUCGAGACUCCCUGACUAGUGGGUGGGGAGUGGAGUCCUCAGGGUCCUUUUCUGCUGACAUAAAUCUUCUCUGUGUGGUAAAUCCUAGAGCAAGUGUACUUUCUGCAGCUUAGCUGCAUGGUCAUGUCGGUGCCUGAGCCAAAAGAAACGAUGGAAAAAUGGGUGCCCCAUACAUACUUAUCAAAAUAUUCUACCAUAUUUUGAUCCAUGUAGAAAAAGCUAAAAAAGACUUGAAAUUUAAUGAAAAUGACUGCACAAAAGCCCUGCAUUGUCCAUCUGUUCUUGCGCCAUGCUUAACCCUCCUCAUAAGCUCACCCAGGAGGGUCUGUGAGGACCAUGAGGCCUUGGAACCAUGGACUGAUGGGAAAUGAUUAUUCCUACUGCACAAUGAGGCAGGGCUACAAAAUAUGACAACAGCCUGCUUUUAAAAAGCACAACAUUUAAUAUUUAUAUUUAUCUUGGAGUUUUGAAUUAACUUUGACUU
rnacentral:lncRNA from 1 species